GAUGAACGCUGGCGGCGUGCUUAACACAUGCAAGUCGAACGGUGAAGCAGGAGCUUGCUCUUGUGGAUCAGUGGCGAACGGGUGAGCAACACGUGAGCAACCUGCCCCUGACUCUGGGAUAAGCGCUGGAAACGGCGUCUAAUACUGGAUAUGUGAUGUGACCGCAUGGUCUGCAUCUGGAAAGAAUUUCGGUUGGGGAUGGGCUCGCGGCCUAUCUGCUUGUUGGUGAGGUAAUGGCUCACCAAGGCGUCGACGGGUAGCCGGCCUGAGAGGGUGACCGGCCACACUGGGACUGGGACACUGCCCAGACUCCUACGGGAGGCAGCAGUGGGGAAUAUUGCACAAUGGGCGGAAGCCUGAUGCAGCAACGCCGCGUGAGGGAUGACGGCCUUCGGGUUGUAAACCUCUUUUAGCGGGGAAGAAGCGAAAGUGACGGUACCUGCAGAAAAAGCACCGGCUAACUACGCGCCAGCCGCCGCGGUAA
rnacentral:rRNA from 1 species